UCUGAAAUAAUUUUUUUUUUGAAAGUUUCAAUAUAACAUUUUAAAACCUCUCUGAAUGUUUCGAUUUUAAUGCAAUUUCGGUUAUCGUUCUUGAAUUUAACCUCGAUGAUCGCUAGGGGCGCUGCGUUGUCAACACGCUAAGUGCGCGGAAUAUGGCGGAUCCAAAACUGAAUGCCGUGUAGGACAAUGUUCCGACAGAGUGUGAUCUACCCUCAAGCCUUAUGUAAAGGAAACGAAUAUAUUUACCUUCGGAGAGUGUCAGAAAUACAUUGAUGCAUAUGGCGUCACUGAAGAUAGACCGUGUGUGGAGCAGCCGACAACGAAGACCGAGCAACAUAUCUUAUAUGACAUGUCACCAAGUCGGCGCAUUCUGGUCUCUGCAAAACCCAAGGACAUACUUAAAGUGGUGACAGGAGGAAAAUCAAUCAAACCAAGUGAAAGUACAAGACAA